UACGUAGGGGGCAAGCGUUGUCCGGAAUCAUUGGGCGUAAAGCGCGUGUAGGCGGCCCGGUAAGUCCGCUGUGAAAGUCGGGGGCUCAACCCUCGAAUGCCGGUGGAUACUGGCGAGCUAGAGUGUGUCAGAGGAUGGUGGAAUUCCCGGUGUAGCGGUGAAAUGCGUAGAGAUCGGGAGGAACAUCAGUGGCGAAGGCGGCCAUCUGGGACGGUACUGACGCUGAGACGCGAAAGCGUGGGGAGCGAACAGG
rnacentral:rRNA from 1 species